AAACAAACAACCAACAGAUCUAUAUGCAUCAGCAACCAUGAAUCAACAUGAGGUUUUUUUCAAAAAAAUCUAAAGGUACAAACACCACGUAAGAGAUUCAAGCCAGAAUAUAUGAACGAGCUACGGAUUCUCCGAGGCACAAAUCAUGUUGAACAAGGGAAAAGGUCACGCAUACACUCAAUAGCACCAACCAAAAGCGGAAAAAAAACAAGGAAUAGAGGUCAAGCAUUUACCACUUUGAGACACUGCAAG
rnacentral:lncRNA from 1 species